AUUGAACGCUGGCGGCAUGCUUUACACAUGCGAGUCGAACGGCAGCGCGGGCUUCGGCCUGGCGGCGAGUGGCGAACGGGUGAGUAAUGCAUCGGAACGUGCCCAGUAGUGGGGGAUAGCCCGGCGAAAGCCGGAUUAAUACCGCAUACGACCUGAGGGUGAAAGCGGGGGACCGAAAGGCCUCGCGCUAUUGGAGCGGCCGAUGUCGGAUUAGCUAGUUGGUGGGGUAAAGGCUUACCAAGGCGACGAUCCGUAGCUGGUCUGAGAGGACGACCAGCCACACUGGGACUGAGACACGGCCCAGACUCCUACGGGAGGCAGCAGUAGGGAAUUUUGGACAAUGGGGGCAACCCUGAUCCAGCCAUGCCGCGUGCGGGAAAAAGGCCUUCGGGUUGUAAACCGCUUUUGUUCGGGAAGAAAUCCUCUGGGCUAAUACCCCGGGGGGAUGACGGUACCGGAAGAAUAAGCACCGGCUAACUACGUG
rnacentral:rRNA from 1 species